rnacentral:rRNA from 1 species
GACGAACGCUGGCGGCGUGCUUAACACAUGCAAGUCGAGCGGUAAGGCCCCCUUCGGGGGGUACACGAGCGGCGAACGGGUGAGUAACACGUGGGUGACCUGCCCUCAGCUCUGGGAUAAGCCUGGGAAACUGGGUCUAAUACCGGAUAUGACUCCAUGACGCAUGUUGUGGGGUGGAAAGCCUUGUGCGGCUGGGGAUGGGCCCGCGGCCUAUCAGCUUGUUGGUGGGGUGAUGGCCUACCAAGGCGACGACGGGUAGCCGGCCUGAGAGGGCGACCGGCCACACUGGGACUGAGACACGGCCCAGACUCCUACGGGGAGGCAGCAGUGGGGAAUCUUGCGCAAUGGGCGAAAGCCUGACGCAGCGACGCCGCGUGAGGGAUGACGGCC